GUCGAGGGGUAGAGUUAGCUUGCUAACUUGAGACCGGCGCACGGGUGCGUAACGCGUAUGCAAUCUACCUUGUACAGAGGGAUAGCCCAGAGAAAUUUGGAUUAAUACCUCAUAGUAUCUUUUGAAGGCAUCUUCAAAUUAUUAAAGUUCCAACGGUACAAGAUGAGCAUGCGUCCCAUUAGUUAGUUGGUGUGGUAACGGCACACCAAGACGAUGAUGGGUAGGGGUCCUGAGAGGGAGAUCCCCCACACUGGUACUGAGACACGGACCAGACUCCUACGGGAGGCAGCAGUGAGGAAUAUUGGGCAAUGGAGGCAACUCUGACCCAGCCAUGCCGCGUGCAGGAAGACGGCCCUAUGGGUUGUAAACUGCUUUUGUACGGGAAGAAACACUCCUACGUGUAGGAGCUUGACGGUACCGUAAGAAUAAGGAUCGGCUAACUCCGUGCCAGCAGCCGCGGUAAUACGGAGGAUCCAAGCGUUAUCCGGAAUCAUUGGGUUUAAAGGGUCCGUAGGCGGCCUUAUAAGUCAGUGGUGAAAUCUCCUAGCUCAACUAGGAAACUGCCAUUGAUACUGUAGGGCUUGAAUUUUUGUGAAGUAACUAGAAUAU
rnacentral:rRNA from 1 species